AUGGGGUAGAGACGCUAGGCCGGCACUGCCUAGGUGGGCCGGGCGGUGCGAGGGUCGCCUUUCAGCCUUUACCUCUACCCACUGAAAUGGAGUAGGUCGGUGAGCGCCGAUCUGCUGGAGAAUCUCAUUAUCCCAUCGGCGCUCUGCCUGCUCCUGGCCUCCAAGCCUCUGAAGCCCCUCGGGUUUCAGCUGCCGGCUACCCUCGAGCCCGUGGUGCCCACGAGAGAGGCGACUUUACGUCAGCGGCCCUGGGCUGAGAUUUGAGAACGCGACCAAGUGGAGAAUGUUGGAGCCAGAUUUUAAAAUCCUUGUCUUCCUUCUGCGUGCUACUUGAUCUAAAUGAGAUACGGCAAAGUCACAGAACCUGUUUUUAUGUUUUUGCCUGAUUCAUACGGGCUUCUCCGGUGAAGAUGGGCCUGAAGUAACGCUUGGGUUGCUUCUGACGUUAUAACUCAUCCUGUAGCUGCAGCAACCGUGGUCCUUGCAACCUCAUAAAAAUGUUGCCAGCAUUGUUUCGAUAGUGCUGCUUAAUUCUUGGAAGGUUCUUCGGACUUCACACAUUCCAGCAGUAGCUCUCUCAGCUCCUGUCCUGCACAGCUUUGAAGUGCUGGUGAUGUCAUUGAACUCUUAAGUGCAAGAUGAAACAAGUCUUUCUGGGGUUCUAAGUAGCGUCUUCAAAGUGUCUUCUGUAAAGACUUCUUCAGACUGUCAAUAGGAAGACUGAUAAACUCAGAGACUGCAUCUCACCAUGUUGCUCAGGCUGUUCUCGAACUCCUGGGCUCAAGCAAUCCUCCUACCUCAGCCUCUCAAAGUGUUGGGAUUAUAGAUGUGAGCCACUGUACCCGGCCCUGGUUGCAUUCUUCAUUAUUAGGAACAUAAGAGUCUAGCCCUGUCGCCCAGGCUGGAGUGCCAUGGUUUGAACUCUACUCACCGCAACCUCCACCUCCCAGGUUCAAAUGAUUCUCCUGCCUCAGCCUCCUGAAUAUCUGGGAUUACAGGCUGGAGUGCGAUGGCGCGAUCUCUACUCACUGCAACCUCCAUCUCCUGGGUUCAAGCAAUUCUCCCUCAGCCUCCCGAGUAGCUAGGACUACAGAGCCUCCCUCUGGAGCGAAGUGGCAUAAUCUCGGCUCACUGCAACCUCUGCCUCCCAGGUUCAAGCGAUUCUCAUGUCUCGGCCUCUUGAGUAACUGGGAUUACAGGUGUCUUUGUGAAGCUUCCUAUCUUUGCUUUUCAACUAAGAUGAAACAGCAUUUAAAAGAAAAUGCCAUGUGAGAUGAGAUCAGGAGAAUGGAUUCUUUCUUUCAUCUGAAUAGAGAGCUGCUGUUCGAGAUUCUAACUCAAAUAGCUCAAAGGACACCUUCUCCGGGAAACCUUCCCUGACUUCCGACGCUGUUUCCUGUUGGGCAUCUAUGUAAAUCAUUUGGAGUUUUUGCCUUUCCUCUUAGAAGAAAAAUAUGAAUGAUUUGACUGAACAGGCCUAUAGCCAAACCCAAGAUGAUCUUUCCAAGCGUGAACUCCAUCUUCAAACUUCUAGUGAGUCUGAGGCCGCAACUGGAAAAAUUUAGAAAUAAUUUCUAAUUCUUGAAAUCUUUGAAAUGUCAAAACAUUAAAACUUUAAGUUUUUGUAUCUUGUUUAAUGUUUAACAAUUUUCUGAAACUUUGGAAAUUAUGUAGGUAUUCUAUUUUGUUAGUUUGGCUUAGCAUAUAUAAAUAGAGCUAUGUCUACAUAUUAAUAGUAGUCUUGUUUUACCUUACCUUUGUUUUUUUGUUGUUGUUGUAUGCCAUCUAGAUCUUAAACCUUAAAGAAGAAACUAUGGCAAUGUCUCUUCCACCACUCUUGACUA
ensembl:lncRNA HULC hepatocellular carcinoma up-regulated long non-coding RNA